rnacentral:rRNA from 1 species
CUUCGGACUUUAGUGGCGGACGGGUGAGUAACGCGUGAGAAACUGCUUUCAGGUCUGGGACAACAAUUGGAAACGAUUGCUAAUACCGGAUGUGCCUACGGGUGAAAGAUUGUAUUGCCUGAAGAUGUGCUCGCGUCUGAUUAGCUAGUUGGUGGAGUAACGGUUCACCAAGGCGACGAUCAGUAGCUGGUCUGAGAGGAUGAUCAGCCACACUGGGACUGAGACACGGCCCAGACUCCUACGGGAGGCAGCAGUGGGGAAUUUUCCGCAAUGGGCGAAAGCCUGACGGAGCAAUACCGCGUGAGGGAGGAAGGCUCUUGGGUCGUAAACCUCUUUUCUCUGGGAAGAAAAACCUGACGGUACCAGAGGAAUCAGCAUCGGCUAACUCCGUGCCAGCAGCCGCGGUAAUACGGGGGAUGCAAGCGUUAUCCGGAAUUAUUGGGCGUAAAGCGUCCGCAGGUGGUGAAUCAAGUCUGUUGUCAAAGAGUGGAGCUUAACUCCAUAGAGGCGAUGGAAACUGAUUGUACUAGAGUUAGGUAGGGGUAAGAGGAAUUCCCAGUGUAGCGGUGAAAUGCGUAGAUAUUGGGAAGAACACCGGCGGCGAAAGCGUCUUACUGGGCCUGAACUGACACUGAGGGACGAAAGCUAGGGGAGCGAAAGGGAUUAGAUACCCCUGUAGUCCUAGCCGUAAACGAUGACAACUAGGUGUUGCCCGUAUCGACCCGGGCAGUGCCGUAGCUAACGCGUU